rnacentral:rRNA from 1 species
GAUGAACGCUGGCGGCGUGCCUAAUACAUGCAAGUCGAGCGAACAGAUAAGGAGCUUGCUCCUUUGACGUUAGCGGCGGACGGGUGAGUAACACGUGGGUAACCUACCUAUAAGACUGGGAUAACUUCGGGAAACCGGAGCUAAUACCGGAUAACAUUUGGAACCGCAUGGUUCUAAAGUGAAAGAUGGUUUUGCUAUCACUUAUAGAUGGACCCGCGCCGUAUUAGCUAGUUGGUAAGGUAACGGCUUACCAAGGCGACGAUACGUAGCCGACCUGAGAGGGUGAUCAGCCACACUGGAACUGAGACACGGUCCAGACUCCUACGGGAAGCAGCAGUAGGGAAUCUUCCGCAAUAGGCGAAAGCCUGACGGAGCAACGCCGCGUGAGUGAUGAAGGGUUUCGGCUCGUAAAACUCUGUUAUUAGGGAAGAACAAAUGUGUAAGUAACUGUGCACGUCUUGACGGUACCUAAUCAGAAAGCCACGGCUAACUACGUG